rnacentral:rRNA from 1 species
GAUGAACGCUAGCGGCAGGCUUAACACAUGCAAGUCGAGGGGUAACAUAGGAAUGCUUGCAUUUUUGAUGACGACCGGCGCACGGGGCGUAACGCGUAUAGAACCUACCUUAUAGUAAGGGAUAGCCCAGAGAAAUUUGGAUUAAUAUCUUAUGGUAUAUUAUUUCGGCAUCGUUAUAAUAUUAAAGAUUUAUUGCUAUAAGAUGGCUAUGCGUUCUAUUAGUUAGUUGGUAAGGUAACGGCUUACCAAGACAUCGAUAGAUAGGGGCCCUGAGAGGGGGAUCCCCCACACUGGUACUGAGACACGGACCAG